rnacentral:misc_RNA from 1 species
GAUGAAGAACGUAGCGGAAUGCGAUAAGUAAUGUGAAUUGCAGAAUUCAGUGAAUCAUCGAAUCUUUGAACGCACAUUGCGCCCGCCAGUAUUCUGGCGGGCAUGCCUGUUCGAGCGUCAUUUCAACCUUCAAGCCCCCGGCUUGUGUUGGGGACCUGCGGCUGCCGCAGGCCCUGAAAAGCAGUGGCGGGCUCGCUGUCACACCGAGCGUAGUAGCAUACAUCUCGCUCUGGGCGUGCUGCGGGUUCCGGCCGUUAAACCACCUUCAUAACCCAAGGUUGACCUCGGAUCAGGUAGGAAGACCCGCUGAACUUAAGCAUAUCAAUAAGCGGAGGA